AAAAAAAAAAUUGAAACAAAGCAACCUCCCUUCUCUCCUCCUUCCCUCCUCCCUUCUCACUUCUUAUUCCUUGUAAAAUCCCAGAAACAAAGCAACCCUCAGACCCAGAAAACAGAUUUAUGCAUUCUACGAAAUGAUCCAAACAUGAUAUAUCCGAAUCAAGGAACAGAAAAAUCCAUCCAAAAUGGCCUUUGACUUCAAAAUUUACAAUACCAUCUCGUCGAAAUCUAAGUAAGCUCAAACGCCGAUUCCAAAAUCUACUAAAAAUGCAUAAUUUCUUCUUCAAAAAUCAUAUUUUGUGAAAAAAAAAUUCAUGAAUUAAAAACUGAAAAAUAAUCACAAACACACACGCACACUAAAGAUAACAUACUGAUUACCUAAACAGGCACAAAAUCGAAAACCCCAAUGCGAAAGCUUCGACAUUUCCAAGUAAAAGCUCGAGAUUUGAAGUCAACCAAACCAAACCAAGUGACUCAUUACGAAAAGCUUCUAAAUUCCAAAACCCCAUUGACCAAAACAACUAGUCUCAAAUCGUGUAAGCAUUUCCUCAAAGAAAGAACAAUCAAAACCCGCAAACGAACUUAGAACCCUAAACAUGAAGCUCCAAUGGCAGUUGUAUACAAUUAAUUCAACCAAAUUCAAGCAUUGAAAAAGCAAUUGAAUUCGAGCAACAGGAACCGUAAUUAGACUAGCUGAGAUGAAGAAAUCAGUGGCAGAAAGAUCUUCUUGCAAGGUUUGUCCAAGGAGGGCUCGGGCUCUGAUUCCGGCGAAGUAGGCGGGCUCGAGCU
rnacentral:lncRNA from 1 species